GAUGAACGCUAGCGAUAGGCCUAACACAUGCAAGUCGAGGGGCAUCACAUGAAGUAGCAAUACGGAUGGUGGCGACCGGCGCACGGGUGAGUAACACGUAUGCAACCUGCCUUCAACAAGGGGAUAACCCGUUGAAAGACGGACUAAUACCCUAUAACACAGGGGUCCCGCAUGGGAAUAUUUGUUAAAGGACAACCGGUUGAAGAUGGGCAUGCGUUCCAUUAGCUAGUUGGCGGGGUAACGGCCCACCAAGGCAACGAUGGAUAGGGGAACUGAGAGGUUUAUCCCCCACACUGGUACUGAGACACGGACCAGACUCCUACGGGAGGCAGCAGUGAGGAAUAUUGGUCAAUGGACGCAAGUCUGAACCAGCCACGUCGCGUGAAGGAAGACGGCCCUACGGGUUGUAAACUUCUUUUA
rnacentral:rRNA from 1 species